rnacentral:rRNA from 1 species
GUCUAAGGCCAUAUCACCCUGAAUGUGCCCAAUCUCAUCUGGUCUCAAAAGUCAAACAGGGUCAGGCCUGGUUAGUACUUGGAAGUAGAGAUUGCUCUGAGACAAGCAGUUUGGAGA